rnacentral:rRNA from 1 species
CACGUAGGGGGCAAGCGUUGUCCGGAUUUAUUGGGCGUAAAGAGCUCGUAGGCUGUUCGAUAAGUCGGGUGUGAAACCUCCAGGCUCAACCUGGAGACGCCACCCGAUACUGUCAUGACUAGAGUCCGGUAGGGGAGCGUGGAAUUCCUGGUGUAGCGGUGAAAUGACGCAGAUAUCAGGAGGAACACCAGCGGCGAAGGCGGCGCUCUGGGCCGGUACUGACGCUGAGGAGCGAAAGCGUGGGUAGCAAACAGG